CAGGCUUCGAGGGAUCAAACGAGACUAAAAAUAGAAUUAAAAUAGAUUUAAAUUCAAAGCCGAAAGAUAAUCAAAUCCAAUACCCAAGUUGGUGGUCCACCAUAGACCACUUAAUCCAUAAGAAAGUUGAUGAGCCAUGAAUUGCUACAGUAAUUUUUACAUGGCUCACAGAGGGUUCUGAUGGGAUGUAUGGGAUUCAAAUCAAAGAUAGGACGCUGAGGGGUUUGUGAAACAAACAAAACUUGGAUUCAAAUGGGCUUAAG
rnacentral:lncRNA from 1 species